UGUUUUGGAUUUUGAGAAAUUAGUAGGAAGGCAACUGAAGCCAGCUCCAGUUUCAUUAGGGUGAUGCACCCUGGAACACCCUUGGCAUUUGGCUUUGUUUACAGGUCAGUGUAAUGAUAAAGUUCACCUCCUUUCAUUGCAGGUGUUGCUUUGGAUAUCUGAAUAUAUUUAUUCAGAAAUGCCUGACAUAGCUGAUAAAGAAAACACUAUGCUAGAUUUUAGUAAAGUCAAUUAAUCUAAUAGCCAAUUAGUAGAGUGACAUCUCUGUAUUUGUCUGAGAAUUUGAUUCCUACAACUUCUAAUUUCAUGGUUUAGGGUCUUGUUUCUCUUCUUUUGUUAUUUAAGAUAAUUUGUUAGCUUUUAACUGAAUUUGAAAAAAGCUCCUUAUUGUUAUGCUCUGCAUAGUAAAGCAUACUUAAGCAGCAAGGUAGAGAAAUCUGCACCUUGAGAGAGUAUCAUGUUGUGCUGAGACUUCUGAGAGAUUAGCUUUUGAAGAACCUCUUUGUUUUUAUUCUGAAUAUGAUCCAGUCCUGGGAAUUUAAUUUGCUUCUCUAGAUCAUUAUGUUUGCAUGUUUUCUUAUCAAAGGAGGCAUAAGUUUGGGGCAUGAGCCUGUAAAUCUGUUUUCACAUAAUUUAUUAAAAGUCACAUAGUACUGGUGCCAUUGGAGGGAAAGAUUCUGUUUAUCUGUUAAUUCUACAGUGACAUUUAGUCCUUUCAACAUGGUUUUCAUUUUUAGAGGUCAGUGCUUAUUCUACACUAUGAUUUUCCAGGGAUUGGUGGGUUUGUGAAUAAAACUCAAAUAAAUUUUGUUUUCUUUCUGCUUAGUUUCUCUCCAUUCUGCAUCUCCUUACAGUGCCCAUCAUCCAAUGAAGUCAAGUUGCCUGUCAUAAUGCAGGACUGGCUUUUUGCAGGAUAGUCUCGGCGGGACAGAGGAGCAGAAGUUUAGCAGCACCUUUAAGUUGCUUGGUUUUCCCUCAAGUCAGCCAACAUCCCAUGUUCACAGGCCAGAUUAUUAUGCUUUUGUUCAAAAGACUGUUCUAAUCCAUUUUCCACAAAGAACUCUGAAGGGUUUAUUGUUUCUGUGUUGUGUUCCCUUAACAGUUGAUGAGGUCUGUGAGCGACUUUUUCUAUCAUUUCUGAAAACCCUAUGGAAUACUUCGUGGGAUUUGCAGAAGAAAGUUUCCAAUUUCCUUCUCCUUCCUUGCAUUAGCACUGAAUAUCCCAGGGAGUGAAUUCAGCUCUGUUCAGAACCACAGCCUGUAAGAAAUGAUCAUGUGCUGGUGUGUUGUGGCAGCCAGAGCAGACUACUCAUGUUUAGGGCUGAUCCUAUCAUUGUGGGGAUGGACAAACAGCCUGAUUCUGCUUGCACAAGCUGAAGCAAAUUUUGACUUUAAAGGGGGUGGAGGGAACAGGACCAGUCAGUUUUGAAAGUGGAUUUGAAAGCUGUGUCUAGUUAAUUUGGAUGCCCUUCUGUUUAGGGCUUUGAGCCUUAAGAGAGGAGAAGUAGAGUGAUCCCUUAAGGUCUUCAGCUUACACAUCCAUCUCCUGUUGAUAUAACUGGGGAAUGAACUCACAAGACAAAACCAGUAAGUGAGGCCUCUGAGGGAAACCUGGGUUCAUCAAAGCCUGAUGUGCUGCUUAGGCUUUUCAGUGCUCUGCGCAAAAUGAAAGCCAUGAGUGGAUAAUUCUUUCUGGAGGUGAUGCUGUAUUUUUUUCUUCCACGAGGAAUAAUUUCCUGGGAUGUGGUGUCCAGCUGUGUGCAUGCGUGAUAUUCCAAAAAUAAGGGGCACAGCUACUUUGGAGAGUGUUUCCAGGGGUGAAGCUCUGAAUGGCCUGAGAUCUGAUAGACAUGCCAGGUAGAAAAUGGGAUCUUGCCUUCCAAGCAUUGUCCCCAGUGUCCAGCUGGUCACAACCCUGUUCUUAGGGCUUGCCCCUGACAAGAGUGAUGGGAGUAUUUAUUCUCUAUAAUAGCCUGCAGGCAUUGUGCUGCAUAUGCUUUAGUGGGAAUAUUUUCUUUUUCUCUUAUGUCUUUCCCUUCCUUUCUCUCCUGAUCCUAGCUUCUUCCCUUCUUUUACAUUUUCUGGAUGGACUGCACAUUUUCAAAGUUUGAUGCUUUAUUUUUUUCCCGUUAUUCCCUGAGUGGCACAGCUGAAGUGUUACAGGCCGGUCAUCAAAGUGCCUUUACAAAAGGGAAUUGUCAGGGACUCACAUAUGUUUGAACUGUAUGUCUUUGCAUAGUGAUUUUCAAGGGUUAUCAGAGGAAAGUAUGAGUUGGUUUGACAGUGGUCCCAUCACAAGCUCUUACCUUCAGGAAUUCAACCUCCUACUUUUAUAGCCUAUUCACAGUCCCUCUGGAAAUUUUAAACACAGCAUGCUAGGAUGUUGGUUAACAGCAAAUAAACCUGUGUGCUGACCUGCCCAUGUGCUAAUAAUAAGUCAUGAGUCUGUUUCUUAAAAAACUCUGUCACAAAUGGUGGUUGAAAAAAUAAAUGAAAGGCCAGAUUCCUACAGAUAAGACCAUCCAGAUGGAACUGCUGGGGGAUAGGUUAAUGAGUUGGCUCUGUAGCCUUGACAGUCUUCUUUCAAAAAAAAGGGGCGCGUGUUGUUCAGACAAGCCCAUGGCCUCUGUUUUCCAAAGGUGAAAUUUACCAUGGAGUGAAGGGCCAGCGAAAGGUCUCUGCCUUGAGCUCACAUGGGAUUGGAAGAACAGAUAAGGUUUGUGCUGGUGCACCUCAUUUUUCGGGAGCAAACUGGCCCUUUUGGGGAGUUCCUGAAGAGUAAUCGAGCCUAGGAGUGAACAUUUUGUACAGGCUUUUGAUACAUUCCUGGUCCUUAAGGAUUUGCAAUGAGACCUGCAUUUAUGGGUUCGGGAGGUUUGUGGUUAUCUUGCUCGUACUUUUACUCAGUUGCACAAAGGCUGCAUAUGUGGGAAAUAUGCCACUAUUUUUUGCAAGAAUUGGAUGGCUUUAAUUUUUAACUUCAUUUUUUCUUUUUUUUUUGUUAUAUCACUAGAGUAAUUAGUUCCACUUUUCCAUAGUACUAAUCAGCUCAGCAUUUUCUGAAAGGACUUUUUGUAUUGCAGAAAUUACUUCCAUUUGCAUGAAAUAUUGGAUUUGCUGAAAGUAAGAAAUUAAUGUUUUUUUCCUGUAGACACCCCAGAUACUGGGUACUUUUUAUGGGGGCUUGAGAGAUGGCUAAAGGGUAAUACCACUAGAAAAACCAGUGAUAUGCAGCUAUUACAUCUUUUGCAACAACAUUUCAGUUUUUGGUAUGUGGUGACUCUGUUGCUUUAUUUUUAGACAAAAACAGCAUGGAUAGCAGCGACUAAACUCCUUGGUCUUGGGAGCUGCUUCCUCUUUUGGCUGAUGGACAAUUUGCAGAGCUAGUUCCAUGAUUUUUAGUGUCUCAAGAGUGCAUUAGAGUUUCACAGCAGGAGAUUUGUAAAAGGGAAAGGAAUGGUGUACAGGGAAUUAAAAGGUCUGUAAAACUAGAGGCUCACUCUCCUGUGAGGAGUGAUCUUGUCUAAAUCAAUAAACGUCGAUGGUCUGUGUUUUUCAGCUGUGAUUGUUAGGAUUGUGUGUUCAGUCAGUGUGUGCUGAGCAGAGCCAAUAUUGACUUAAUAACACCAAAAAAUGUAUUUACAGCUAUUUGUCCAAAUUCUGAAUAACUGUUCCUUUUGUUCUCUGUCCUUUGCUAUUCCCAAACCAUACUGCAAACAGAUUUUGGCUCUGAGUCCAGUGAAGUAUUUCUAAGCAUGCUUAACUCCAGGCACAUGACUACUCCAGUUAACAUUUCUACAGGCUUAAAGGGGCUGUCAGCGCUUCUCCUGCAACUGCCCCGUGGAGAUGCUGUUGAGUGACGUGAAACACUUUUUCUCCUGACAGGAUUAGCGAGCCAUCUCUCCACACUGCCCAGCUUCCCCCUCCGCUUCCACCAGCUCUCUCUACGUGCCCAAAGAGAUGGUUAUUCAAUCCAUGAAGUAUGGGAUGAUCCAUAUUCAUGUUAUCCCAAGGGAAGCUCUUUGAAAGAACUGUGACCUUUUUGCACUUGAAGAGGUCAGCACCAUCCAUGCCAGAGAAGGUUUUGGGAAUCACUGAGAUAAGUGUUGCUGAAGAACCUGUCUUUAUGAUGUGGUCUUGACACUCUGGAUCUAUCACAAGAAAAGCUGAGGGUCUGGCAUCUGAUUAACAAUGAUGGGAAUCUACCUUCUUCUGUCAUCAAAACUCAGCUGGGGGAAGAUUAAAUUUUCCUUUAAAAUAAUAUAUGCUGCCCUUCUUUCCAGAAGAGGAGGAAGAUGACACAGCUUUCCUGGAAGCUUCUGGCCAUGCAGCCUACAAUAGGCAGAAUUUCCUCUGCUUCUGGUAGAAAAUAGUCAAGAGUAUGAAUGACAGGGCUGUGUCAUAUAUGGACUAUAUUAAUUCUGCCUGUGUCUCACAUUGAGGCAGCAGAGGUGAGGACUAAUAUAUGGAAGAACACUUCCCUGGUCAGAGCAGCACCCCUGGCUGUAGCUGUCUUGUGUGUCUUCCCUCAGCUUCACCAGAGACCUCUGAGAUACCUGUCCAGCUGACAAAAAGGUGAAUGUAAAGUUCAACGUGCAAAGAUGGGAUUUAUUUCUGAACUUUGAAGUGCCAACUUGUUUUGCUGUGAUUAACAAGGAAAGAAACUUCUGAUGUGCAUGUUUUUAGGUUAACAUUUCUUCAUGGUGCAAUUCAAUUGCUUUAAAAAGAAAAACUACAAUAGUGCUAUACAUCUACAGUGGCUUUUCCCAGCCUUUGGAAAGUACAUGGAUCUACAAUUAAGCAUCAGGUGGCAUCCACAUCAAUAUUGGGAAGAAAAACCUGAGAGAGGAAUACUGGUCUGAAAGAGGUCCCAAGGAAGUGUAUUCAGAGUUUGCUGGGCAGACCUCAGAAGAAAUUUCUGGAGAAAAACCAGGAUGCCUGUGUGGAUAUUUUGGUGAAUCUAAAUUAUUACAAAGAAAAGGCAGAAAAUCCCAAGGCAGGUGAAGCCCAAGACUUGUUCAUUUGUUUUUUUUGCAAUCUUGAGUCCCAGUGAUGCCUGACAUUUGGAAGGGGGGGUUAGAAUCUGGAGAAACUACCAUCACCUGGAGAGAGUUUGGAAGUGUUCAUGGAGAAUGCACAGCAGGUAGGAGGGGGAGUGAUGAAAGUGGCACUAAACAAGGGCAGUUCCUCAGGGGACCACUGAACACUAGGCAAGGAGAUAAAUUAAUCUGGAAACAGUUUGCUAACUGUUGGCUGGAGGUAUAACCAGGGCAAGGACUGAAUACAGAGCCAAGAGCUGCUAUUCAGCCAAACUGCAUAGCUGCAUCAAACAUGAUGCAGGAGCCUCCUCUGAGUCUGAAGUAGGUACAAAACUUCUAAACAAAGGAGAACACAGGUUGAGAAACACCACUCUGUGUUUAAUGUCGCGAUGUCUAUUUGCAGGGCAGUUUCAGUGUAACACUUUCAGUUUAGGUGUAGACAGUGUGGAGAUGGGGUCAACAGACUGGGGCUUUCAGGAAAGGCUGGAGGGAACAACAGGUGAAAUGUAAACACAUGGGUCUCUUGGCAUAAAUGAGUAAAAAGUUGAUGAUGACAAAAUUUGUAAUUGCAUUUGGGGGAAAAAGUAUCUUUUACUCGACCAAAACUAUGUCAACCACAUCAAGAGGGUAUCCUCACUGGAAAUACAAGGGACUUACCCAACUGUAGCCUUUGAACUCAUUUUCAGGUAACAGGAAUGUUCUCUGCAGGGUAAGAAGUGGUCUGAGGACUACCUUUGAUGGUAGGUGCGUUCCUCAUAGACCAAGCAGCCGAAUUGCGGUGUCAUGGUGACAAAUUUGGGUUCCACUGGCCAAGGAAAUGGAGGAAUUUGGCUCAACUUGCUAGCAUGGGGUGAGGUUUUCUGAGGCCCAGCCUUGCUCAGAGGACUGCUCCUGAGAGCUGAGCAGGGCUGCUAGGCUUUUCCAUGAGCUUGGUUUCACCUGAAGAACUUCUGCUGGCCCCACAGUGCUCCCACACAGAAACAUUGCCUGAUACCCACUCUCAUGGCCAUUGGAUGGGAGCUGCAGCCCAAUUCAUGC